rnacentral:rRNA from 1 species
UAAUGUAUGGGGAUCUGCCCGAUCGAGGGGGAUAACUACUGGAAACGGUGGCUAAUACCGCAUAAUGUCUACGGACCAAAGCAGGGGCUCUUCGGACCUUGCACUAUCGGAUGAACCCAUAUGGGAUUAGCUAGUAGGUGGGGUAAAGGCUCACCUAGGCGACGAUCUCUAGCUGGUCUGAGAGGAUGAUCAGCCACACUGGGACUGAGACACGGCCCAG